UACAGAGGGUGCGAGCGUUAAUCGGAUUUACUGGGCGUAAAGCGUGUGUAGGUGGCUUCCUAAGUCGGUUGUGAAAUCCCUGGGCUCAACCUGGGAAUUGCAGUCGAUACUGGAAAGCUCGAGUUCGGUAGAGGACGGCGGAAUUCCCGGUGUAGCGGUGGAAUGCGUAGAGAUCGGGAAGAACAUCGGUGGCGAAGGCGGCCUGCUGGGCUCUUGCUGACACUGAGGCGCGACAGCGUGGGGAGCAAACAGG
rnacentral:rRNA from 1 species